CUACGGGAGGCAGCAGUGGGGAAUUGUUCGCAAUGGGCGAAAGCCUGACGACGCAACGCCGCGUGGAGGAUGAAGAUCUUCGGGUCGUAAACUCCUGUCGAGUGGGAAGAACAGCUUCCGGGCGAAUAUCCCGGGAGCCUGACGGUACCAUAAAGAGC
rnacentral:rRNA from 1 species